rnacentral:rRNA from 1 species
AACGAACGCUGGCGGCAUGCCUAACACAUGCAAGUCGAACGAAGGCUUCGGCCUUAGUGGCGCACGGGUGCGUAACGCGUGGGAAUCUGCCCUUUGGUUCGGAAUAACAGCUGGAAACGGCUGCUAAUACCGGAUGAUGACGAAAGUCCAAAGAUUUAUCGCCAGAGGAUGAGCCCGCGUUGGAUUAGGUAGUUGGUGGGGUAAAGGCCUACCAAGCCGACGAUCCAUAGCUGGUCUGAGAGGAUGAUCAGCCACACUGGGACUGAGACACGGCCCAGACUCCUACGGGAGGCAGCAGUGGGGAAUAUUGGACAAUGGGCGCAAGCCUGAUCCAGCAAUGCCGCGUGAGUGAUGAAGGCCCUAGGGUUGUAAAGCUCUUUUACCCGGGAAGAUAAUGACUGUACCGUGAGAAUAAGCCCCGGCUAACUCCGUG